UACAGAGGUCUCAAGCGUUGUUCGGAUUCAUUGGGCGUAAAGGGUGUGUAGGUGGCGCGCUAAGUCGGGUGUGAAAUUUCGGAGCUUAACUCCGAAACUGCAUUCGAUACUGGCGUGCUUGAGGACUGGAGAGGAGACUGGAAUUUACGGUGUAGCAGUGAAAUGCGUAGAUAUCGUAAGGAAGACCAGUGGCGAAGGCGGGUCUCUGGACAGUUCCUGACACUGAGACACGAAGGCCAGGGGGAGCAAACGGGG
rnacentral:rRNA from 1 species